GACAGAGGUGCCGAGCGUUAGGCGGAAUCACUGGGCUUAAAGCGUGUGUAGGCGGACGGGUAAGUCCCUUGUGAAAUCCCACGGCUCAACCGUGGAACUGCUGGGUAUACUGCCUGUCUUGAGUCAUCUAGGGGCGAGCGGAACAAAUGGUGGAGCGGUGAAAUGCGUAGAUAUCAGGAGGAACACCUGCGGUGUAGACGGCUUACUGGACGGUAACUGACGCUGAGGCACGAAAGCGUGGGUAGCAAACAGG
rnacentral:rRNA from 1 species